rnacentral:lncRNA from 1 species
AUUACGACCACAACUUUCUGUUGCUCCUUCUUGUUUGUUUGUUCUUCUUUUUUCCAUUUUCUAUUUGAGGAGAGGGGGUUGUUAUUAUAUUAUAUGCAUUUUGUAAGUAUUUUCUAAUAUAUCAUUCGUCAGAACGUGAGAGUUUACCUUUUAAUUUUUUCAUAUUUGGCCAGCUCGAGUUCACCAUCUGAAUUAACAAUUGGUAAGUCCUACUUUGAAUGUUAAUUAUUUUUUCUUAUCGUGAUACGUGGAAGCUUGAAGAAAAUAAGGUUUAUUAUGAUGCAGAUGAAUUGGCUAGAUUACAAUGAUGGAGUUUUGUGGACACAUUGUUCUUGUUCAGAAUUUAAUUAGAGAAAGGUAUAUUCGCUCCUUAUAACCCCCUCCUUUUUCAAGAAUAUACCUGUAUGAAUGUGAGAAUUGAUUGAUGACUAUUAAUUUUGUUACUAAAGAGCAGAGUGAUGGAUUGUUUUCAUUCUCAAACAUUUAAUAUUUGAAGACAAAUGAGUUCUAUUUGAUAUGAAGGCUACAAAGUAAUCAACCAAAGAAAUUAUGUGCAAAUAAAGAUUCUUCAUAGGGAUAAUCUACUGACAGUUUAGAGAAUUUUAGAGAUACUGACCUUCCUUUUAUGCUAGAAAGAAUAACUUGUAUGUAAUUCUAAUGGUAAAGAUAUGUGGUGAAACUGAUAUGAAGGAUAUGAAUUAUAUGUUGUCCUUUGCUAGUACAUCAACAUUAGUUCACCUUUGACUUUGGAUGUCUGUUCAACUUUUAGCUACUCAUACAGUAACAUCAACUGUGACACUUUACCAAGAAAUUACUUUGUGAUAUCCAUAACAACCUCAACUUUUUAUUUUAAAUAUCAAACCAAAUUUUUCUGUACCAUGAUUCUUUAAAAUAAUACUAAUGUUUUGCCUUUUUAUUUCUUAAAGUUUUCUAGUAAUAUCCAAAAAGGUAUACAUUUAACACAGAGGUAGGAAGAAAUCUAUGUAAGAAACGUAUACCAAAAGCAAAUAGGAAGGAAGGCAUAAUUAAAACAUCGAAAAAUUAAGAGCCACACCUGUUUCACAAUAUCAUAUUUUCUUUGGGCUCCAAAAUCAUGUUUGUUUGUAGCAACAGAGAGAACAUACAAUUUUUAUGUGUAGCAUUUUAAUUUAAACAUUCAUGAAAUUUUGUUGAAUAGGUCUUCUGAGUUAGUUUGAUUCGUAAUACCAUUAUUGUAGACUUAGAUUUGCAUUUUUGUAGCACAAGAAAGGGAGAAGAAAAAGGUACAAGGACAAACUAUUUAGGAAGAUCAUUAGUGUAUUUGCACCAUUUUAGGAAUCAGUAAAUAGAAAAUAUUUCAUUCAUUCUUCAUAAAAGAAAAAAUAUUUUAUUCACCAAAGCCUCCAAUUGUGAGAGUGCAUUUUUUGUCCCUAUCAACCAAAACAUUUCAUCAUGCUAAUAUUUCUCUUUGUUUAAAUCUGAUCACUUCUAUAUUCAUAGAUGUUAAGUUAAGCGCCUUUGUGUAUUUUGAUGAUCUAACAAACUUCUUAAUAAGAACCAUAUUGGGAACCUAUUAUACAUCCUCAAAGUACUCAAGAACAACAAGUCUUAAGUCUGGCACAAGUCCCAACAACUUGAGUCAAAGAAACGGGAGAAGGAACAAAUGACCAUCAGUUCCUCUGAUGAUAGUACAAGUCAACUCUCUACAGCUGUAAAAUCGUUGCACUAUUUUUUGCACAUACAACAGUGCAACAAUCACUUUAUGGAGCAUGCCUUGUACCGGAUAAUUGCAUACAUCAUCACAAUGACCUCACUUGUAUAUUACCAACAUGAGGCAAGGGAAAUUUACACACUUGCAAAGCCCUAAAUCAUCAAUUCUCUCUCAAGUGUGCUGCCGACUUUCAAGUCAUUGAAGAAAAAGCAACAAUAGAAUCAAAGACCAGAUCCCAACACUAAGUCUAUCAUAUUUCCUUAGUAUUGUUGUAUCUUUGUUAAUGUACUUUAUUUGUAACUCCUACUCCGCUUACUUAGAAGCACUUCAUAGGAGAUCAAUUGUAAAACUAUAAACUUUAUGUUUGUGUUUUGGCUAGAGUUAGUCAAAGUGUAGACUUUGUAAUAGAGUUAUUAUAAAGAGGCUUGUAAUAGAGUUAUUACAAGUAGGCAAGAGAUUAAGAGGUUAAUUCCUAGAUUACAAUAGGUUAUAAUCUAAAGUUUUCUCAGUUAGUAAAGUUAAAAUCCUAUGAGUGUAGGUCAUGAUUUUUAAUCCCGUGAGCUGGGAGUUUUCCACAUAAAACUCCGUUGUGUCCUUUACUUACUGUUGUGUAUGUGUUCUGUGAAAACUGAUAAAGAACCAGGUUCUCUACACAAUUUGGUGGACCCUUAGUUUACAUCAAUAGGUAUCAGAACAGGUUCUUUCUACAAGGCUAAUACCUAGAAAGGAUCCACAUAGAUGCUCCACCAAACUUUGAAGAAGGUCAAUCAAUCUACAGACCACCAAGAUUCAAUGGACAAUAUUACGGAUGGUGGAAGACGAGGAUGCAUGCUUUUAUCAUGGAUGAGGAUUCUGAGCUCUGGGAUGUCAUCUAUGAUGGCACUUUCAUUCCUAUGAAGACCAUUGGGGAGCUAGUAGUGACAGUUCCAAAAACAAGGAAAGAGUACAACGAUGUUGACCGCAAAGCUGUAGAGAAAAACUUUCAAGGAAAAAAGAUCCUCGUAUGUGGUAUUGGUCCAGACGAGUAUAACAGAAUCUCUGCCUGUCAAUCUGCCAAGGAGAUCUGGGAGGCUCUCCAAACCGCACAUGAAGGAAUAACUCAAGUCAAGCAGUCAAAGAUCGGCAUGCUCACUACUGAGUAUGAACUCUUCAGGAUGAAGGGUGAUGAGUCCAUUCAGGACAUGCAUACUCGAUUCACCUACAUCAUCAAUGAGAUUCACUCUCUUGGAAAAAUCAUUCCAAGAAACAAACUUGUCAGGAAAAUGCUUAGCGUAUUACAUGGCUCUUGGGAAAGCAAAGUCAAUGCCAUCACAGAGGUAAAAGAUCUGCAAAAGCUAACCAUUGAUGAACUCAUUGGAAAUCUGAAGACUUAUGAAAUGAAGAAGAAGAAGGACCAUGAAAGAAGAGAACCUAAAAAGGAGAAGAACUUGAUCCUCAAGGCAGAAAACAAUGACUCAAGUGGUGAGGAUAAGACAUGGCCUACCUGACAAAGCGAUUUCAAAAAAUGGUUCACAGAAAUGGAGGCAUUCCAAAAAGAGGCAGCUCCAGCAAACCAAAAGGUUAUGACUUGUGUCAUAAAUGUGGGAAGCCAUGACAUUUCAUCAAAGAUUAUUCUCUCCUCAAGAAAGACCAGUACAAGCACAACACAGACAAAAUAAACAAGAGGAACCCAGUUCCUGACAGGAGAUUCAAAAGAAAAGAUGCCACUGAUAAUGUUGUGAAACAAGCUCUUGCUGCAUGGGGAGACUCCUCCAGUGAAUCUGGGAAAGAUGAUGAACAAGGUGACACCUCCAUGAUGGCAGUUGAAAGCAAAACAGCUCAAUAUAACUCUAUCUUUGCCCUGAUAGCGCAAAAUCUGACGAUGAUGAAGAUGGUGAUGAUGAUGAUGAUGAUGAUGAUAAGGUAAACAUUCUAGGCGUUCGAAGAAAUUUGAAGUCUUACUCUCAAAAGAAGCUUAUAUCCUUGGCAAAUAUUUUAAUUGAUUCUUAUCAUAAUCUUAUAAAUGAUAAAAAUGUGUUAACUGUGGAAAUAGGAGAGGUAGAACAUGAGAGAGAUGAUCUGGUAGUCAUAGUGGUUGACUUAUAAGAAACCAUUGAGGUUCUAAAGAAAGAAAAAGAUGCUCUAACUGAAAGAAUUGAAAACAUAGAGCAUGAGAGAGAUGACUUGUUGGUAGUAGUUGUGGAUCUAAAAGAAACAGUUGAGGAAUUAAAAAAGGGAAAUAGUUCUGGAAACAUCCAAAAGGGAAAGGAAGUUGCAACACUUUAAGCUUGAAAAUGAGCUCAAAAUGGUGAAAUCUAGUCUGUGUGCUGAACUUGAAAGAAACAGACAACUUCAGGAAGAUUUAUUCAUAGUUAAAAAUGACCUUAAAAAACCUCUAAAGUGGACCCGGUCCUCUGAUACAAUCACUGCCAUGUAUAAAAGAAAUGGAGGGAACAUGCAGGGAAUCGAGUUCCAAAAGAAAAAGACUCCCUACAAUCCAUAUAACAAGUAUGUUACUGUCCCCGAUAGCUGGCUUUGUACUCACUGUGGUAGCACUGAGAACUUUAAAGAAAUCUGUAAGGUUAGAAUUCAGUCCCAACAGAAAAACAAAGUUUUUGUUGAAAAGGUAGCUACUGCUAAAGAACAUGGUCCCUCCAAUAAAAAACGUGUAAUGCCUGCUUGGACAAAAAGAAUUUUAAUUCGCCCUUUUCCUCACUAUAAGGGACCCAAACUUGUUUGGGUUCUUAAGUCUAAUUCUUGUUUUUUUGUGCAAGGAGCAGUGAAAGGAAAUAACCAAAGAUGGAAUAUGGAUAGUGGCUGCUCUAAGCAUAAGACUGGUAGCACUGAUGAUUUUCUUUCACUCAAAGCCUGCAAGGAGGGAGUGCGUCUUUUGGCAAUGGAAAAAAGGGAUACAUUCUGGGAGUAGGAAGAGUUGGGAAGACGCUCACUCAUUCAAUUGAGAAUGUGUACUAUGUGAAUGGCUUGAAAUAUAGCCUACUGAGUGUCUCUCAAAUUUGCGACAAAGGAAAUAAAGUGGAAUUCUUAUCAAAGACUUGCACUAUUAGAAAUCUUGUAACUGGUGAAGUGGUUCUGUUGGCAAAAAGAUUUAAAAAUAUUUAUGUUGCUGAUUUUGAGUCUUUGCACAGUGAGGAUCUUACAUGUUUGAGUGCUGUUGAUGAUGAUGCUGAGCUGUGGCACAUAAGAUUGGUACAUGCAAGCUUUUCAUUGCUGGACAAGUUAGUCAAGAAGGACCUGGUUCGUGGGCUGCCCAAGUCAAGGUUCAAAGAUCAUAAGGUGUGUGAUGCAUGUGCAAGAGGAAAGCAAUUCAGGUCCUCAUUCAAGCCCAAAAAUAAAGUAAGCACCUCAAGGCCAAUUGAUCUCCUCCAAGGGUGCCGAGUAGAGGAGGAAAGAAGUACAUUUUUGUCAUAGUUGACGACUACUCCAAAUUCACAUGGACCUUGUUUCUCAGAACCAAGGAUGAAACCUCUCCAGUCUUUGUUACCUUUGUAAAGCAGAUUCAAGUAAAGAUAAGCCAUAAUAUUAUGAGUAUAAGGUCUGAUCAUGACACAAAGUUCGAUAAUGCAAAAUUUGAUGAAUUCUGUGUUGAAAAUAGUGUUGUGGAGAGGAAAAAUAGGACUCUUGAAGACAUGGCAAGGACUAUGCUAAUUGACAGCGGCAUAGAAAAAGGUUUUUGGGCAGAGGUAGUCAACACUGCUAUCUAUUUGGUAAACAUGUGCAUGAUCAGGUCCCUCUUAAACAAAACUCCGUAUGAAUUGCUGAACAGGAGUAAGCCCAAGAUAACCCACCUAAGAACGUUUGGCUGCAAAUGCUUCGUUCUCAAUAAUAGUAAGGAAGCGCUGGGAAAAUUUGAUGCUAAAAGUGAUGAAGGAAUCUUUCUUGGAUAUUUCUCACAAAGCAAAGCAUGCAAGGUCUACAACAAAAGGACUCAAUGUGUUGAAGAAAGCAUAUAUGUAAUCUUUGAUGAAUCAUACCAUUUAUGUGGGAAAUAUUCACAUGAUAAGAUUGAUCAAUACGGAGAGCAGUCAAAGGUGCCUGGAGAAGUUAUUGAUAUGGAAAAUUGGAAGGCUGAUUUGAUGAGUCAAGUCAAGGAAUCCAACGAAGAGAAUACAACAGAACCUCCAGCUGAUAUAAAAGAACCUGUUCCUCCAUUACAACAACUGAAGAAGAAGACAGAGUUGCUGAUGCCGUGCAAGGAACCCCUGAUACUGAGCAGAGAAGUAGUACUCACCCCUCCAUAGAUGCCAACAAUGGAUCCCAUUCAGAGGAACCUGGGUCUUCACACAAUGAGAUUCAGGUGUCUAACUGGAAGCACAAAAAUUAACAUCCCCUCCAAAAUGUGAUCACUCCUCUUGAUUUAGGAAUUCAAACCAGAUCAAAGACAAGAAGCUCACUUGACUUCUCAGCUCUCCUUUCUCAAAUUGAGCCCAAAAAUAUCAAGGAGGCAUUGAAAGAUACUGACUGAAUUACUGCUAUGCAAGAUGAACUCUAUCAAUUUGAGAGGAACCGUGUAUGACACCUGGUUCCUCGACCCUCAGACUGAACUGUUAUAGGAACCAGGUGGGUGUUCAAAAACAAGCUUGAUGAGUUUGGGAAUACAACAAAGAACAAGGCCAGGUUAGUAGUUCAAGGCUACAAUCAAGAAGAAGGGAUCGAUUAUGAUGAGACUUUUGCCCCAGUUGCUCGAAUGGAAGCCAUCAGAAUCCUUAUUGCCUUUGCAUCUCAUAUGAAUUCAAAUUGUUCCAAAUCGAUGUCAAAAGUGCAUUUCUGAAUUGAUACUUAAAGGAAGAAGUCUUUGUCAAACAACCAUCUGGUUUUGAGUGUCAUGAACAUCCUGAACAUGUAUUCAAACUUAACAAGGCACUAUAGGGGCUGAAACAUGCCCCUCGUGCGUGGUAUGAAAGGUUGUCCAAAUUCCUUCUUGAAAAUGGCUUUACAAGAGGAAAAAUCAACAAUGCCCUAUUUUUGAAGAAACGAGGGAGGAACUUGCUCAUUGUGCAAGUUUAUGUUGACGACAUCAUCUUUGGUGCAACAAAUGAUUCCUUAUGUGAGGAAUUUGUAAAGCUUAUGGGAAGCGAGUUUGAAAUGAGUAUGAUGGGGGAGUUGAAUUUUUUCUUAGAGUUGCAAGUUAAGCAAACCCCUAAGGGAAUGAUGAUAAGUCAGCAGAAGUACAUUAAAGAGCUCCUGAAGAGAUUUGAGAUGGAAAGUUCAAAAAUUAUUUAUACUCCUAUUGCCAUUGCCACUCGUCUGGACAUGGAUGGACCUGGUUCUCAUGUGAACGAAACCAUGUACAGAGGCCUCAUUGGUUCACUCUUGUAUCUCACAGCUAGCAGAUCUGAUAUUGUAUUCAGUGUGGGAUUAUGUGCUAAAUUUCAAUCCAGUCAAAAGGAAUCUCAUCUGAAAGCUGCUAAGAGGAUUCUAAGGUAUCUCAAAGGAACGCAUGACCUGGUUCUCUACUAUACUUCAGGAGAUAAUUUUGACUUAAUUGGGUAUGCUGAUACUGAUUAUGCUGGUUAUCUGGUGGAUAGAAUGAGCACAUCUAGCAUGGCACACUUUCUGGGGUCGUGCUUAAUCUCAUGAGGUACAAAGAAAUAAAACUCGGUGCCUCUUUCAACUGCAGAAGCUGAGUGUGUGGCAGCUGCCUCGUGUUGUGCUCAACUGUUGUGGAUCAAUCAACAACUAGAGGAUUUCGGUGUGUUCUCGGAUUGUGUGCCACUACUGUGUGAUAAUACAAGUGCUCUCAACAUCACAAAGAACCCGAUUCAGCAUAAGCGAACAAAGUACAUUGAUGUGCGACAUCAUUUUCUUAGGGAUAAUGUUGAAAAAGGCCUCAUCUGCAUGAAGUUCUAUAAAAUAGAGGACCAAGUAGCAUAUAUCUUCACCAAAGCAUUGAGCAAAGAGCACUUUGAAAAGAAUCGACUGGCAUUGGGGCUGAUAAAAUCAAACUGAGUACCAUAUCUCUCAAUGAUUGGCUAUGAAAGAAUGAACAUGGAAAACUGCUAAAAAAUAUUUUUUGGCAAACUCUAACUCAUUUCUAUACCGUUACAGGUAAACACGCAUGAGAAUUACAGAGUAAACAAGCUGCCAAUAACCUUGCAUCUUGGUAAAAGGAUGAAGCUCACAUUUACAAAACUCAAUUAGGGAACCUGGUUCCUUUGACUCAGGUAGUAGCUCCUUUUACACUCAUGCACACAUUAAAAGGCUAUAAAAGUUCCACAUCAUUAAAUGUUUUCCGUCUCUCUCUCAUCUGUUAAAACCCAAACAUCACACCCGUUACAAACUGACUCGUCUACCCAGUAAGAUACACCCGUUUGUAACCGGUCCCUCACCCCCUCUAAAUAAUACCAAAAGACAUCUCUUUCCCAACUAUCCACAUCAAAGCCACAAAAUUCUCUUCUCUUUCUAAAGAAAACCCUCUCUUUCUUGUGUCUCUACUUCCAAACUCUAUCGUGUCUCAGAAUCUAGAGCUUUCAAGCACUACCAAUGUUUUUCCUACUGUGCCUUCAUCUCACGAAGCACAUGAGUGUGCUUCUGAGUCUCAACCGUUACCCAGUCAAAAUCCCACACCAGACCAACAACCAUCUACUAGUUCUUCUCCAACCCAGUCGAGUUAUGGUUCUCACCGCAGUCUUAAGACUUAGAACCCCAAAAGAUUCGUUGCUACAACCUCUCAUUCUGCCUCGCCGGAAAACAAUGGCAGACGAUGAAACAGUAGACGGAGACGAGGAACAAGAGGUCUUUAGUCAGAAGGUUGGGGGAAUCUCUGAAACCCAACAAGAUGUGGUUGGCAGGGGUGAAGUAUCAACAGUGCCCGCUCCAAGCUUUGAUCUGAAUAUUACCACUCUGACAUGUAAUGUUCCUCCUGCAUCUUCUGAUUCUAUUUUGGGGGUGAAUGAGAAAGAAGCCAUUGAGAACAUGCUAUUGAUUGCUAUAGAGGGAGGAUUGGUUGGAGAAUAUGAGUGUGAUGAUGAGACCAUUGGGUCUCAGGGGGAAGGUGAAAGUCAUAAAGCUGAGUGUAGGGAACUGGUGCCUUUUGAAAAUUUGGCACCAGUCAGUACUACUGGGGAAACAACAGAGGGACCUGAUUCCUCUGCCCAAGAAGAACACUCUGCUCCUACUUGGGAUGAAAUCCCUUGCUCCCCAAAAGAGCCCCAGGCCAUUACUGAUCCUUCUCCUUCUCCUCACUUUAAUGCUGAGCCAUUGAACUUUGUCAUUCCUGAAAUGAGAUCUCUAUCUGAAGAGAAAAAUGAGAAUAGUGAGGAAGACUAUGAUAAUGUGAUUGUGGCAAGAUUCAUUGCUGCUAUAAGUGGUAGUGCAGUUCCCAAAGAGCCCAUUCUUAAAAGACCCACUACUAGGCUAUAAAAGAAAGAGGCUUAUGAGACUGUUCUGAAGAAAAACAAAGAGGAAAAGAAAAGAAGGAGGUUGGUGAAAAGGGGAAAGCUAGUAAAUGAGGAGGAUAUGCCUCCAGCACAUAUUGUCCAUGUUGAUGAUGAAGAGGUGAAUGAGGAAUCUGCUUCCUUAAUUCGUAAAUCCUCUAAGAAACCUGUGAUUCCAAAGCCCAAGAGAGGUUCAUCUGUGAAAACUGUAGAGGUGAAAAGUGUCGAGGGAGAGAAGUCUGGUGAGAAAUCUUGUGAGAAGUUUGGUGAGAAAUCUUGUGAGAAGUAUGAAAAAAAGGAGAAAAAUGUAAGGAAGUCUGUGAAGAGGAAGGCUAGUAACAAAGAGGAACCUAGUUCCUCUAAGAAGGCAAAAGUGAUCACUUCUAUAUUCAUAGAUAUUAAGUUAAGCGCCUUUGUAUAUUUUAAUGAUCUAACAAACUUCUAAAUAAGAACCAGAUUGGGAACCUGUUACACAUCCUCAAAGUGCUCAAGAACAACAAGUCUUAAGUCUGGCACAAGUCCCAACAACUUGAGUCAAAGAAACGGGAGAGGGAACAGAUGGCCAUCAGUUCCUCUAAUGACAGUACAAUUCAACUUUCUACACAGUUUGGUGGAAACUGAUAGAGAACCAGGUUCUCUACACAGUUUGGUGGACCCUUAGUUUACAUCAAUAGAUGAUACUUUCGUCCUCCCACAUUCAUCCUCUUCUAUAAAAGAAAUAGUUGCAAAACUUAGGCGCCUUCUGUAAUGAUGUACAUGCGUGUUUUGAUGCUCACCACACUUGUGCAUCAAAAGUUAUGCAAAUGGUAACCUGCUAUUUUUUCAAGUUACCAAACAAUUUACCACUUGCUAUUACUGAUAUCUUCUUAUUUCAAAUUUCGGAAAACGUGGAUAAUGUGCUUCACUUUAUGUGACUUUUGUUAUAAACAUUUCUAUUUUGCUAGCCGCUAAAGCAUAUUGGUCAUGUGACUGAUAUAAAUAUUGGCUGCUGAAUGACUCAACAAUAAAUAUUUGACUUGACCUUGUUUUCCUCCUUCUAUGAUUUGUCCAGGUUUCGAUGUGUUUGACUAACCAGACAAAAUAGAAACGAAGUUAUAGAUUGUUCUCUUGUUCAACCAGACUAAAUAGAAACGAAGUUACUAUUUGUCCCCUUGUUGCCUCCACUUGCUGGACAUAUACUCACCUGCAUCUAUCACUUCACCAAACAUGUCCUGUAGUAGGACGUUUAACUUAGCUCCCUUCUCUUUACCAACAGUAAAGAGAAUAAAGAAAGUCAAGUAAUCCAUAGCCUGUCCGAAAGACAGGAUAUGGUAAAGGGAUAAAGAAAGUGAAAGUUUAGGAUCAAGAAAAUGCUCACCUCUUGGAAGGGCUCAUAUGCCAUGUAAUUUGAGUGUAGACCUGAGAUCCUCUGCUCUCAUAUGCACCAUAUGGGAGCAGCAAAACAAAUGCUUCAACAUUGAUCUAAAAGUUUGUCCUACUAAAACCAUGAGAUCCAGAGGAUUAGUUAAAAUGCUACCAUCAGAAGCGCAACUUGCAAUGAGUUUAAUAUAGCUUUGUCCCUAUCUAUCUUCCUCUGAUGCGCAACUUGCAAUGAGUUUAAUAUAGCUUUGUCCCUCUCUAGCUUUCUCAUUUGAUAUUCUUUCGUUCUCCAUCGGAGAACUUUUACGAUAACUGAGAAGGGAAUGAGUUACUAGUAUUGUAUUAAGUAGAAUUUUUGUUAUCAGAAAAAACCAGUAAAGGAUUCAAAUAGUAACGACAACCUAAAAAAAGGAGAUUCCUCUUUAAUUAGAUCCAAAAACAUUUAUAUAUUACUUAUUGAUCAAUAGUUUGUAUACACACUAAUUCUUAAAUAAGAGAUCAUACAUCAUGUAGAAAAAAGGCUAGAUUUGAACUUCUAAACAAGAUUUCUUCGAUGAGUUAAUAAUUGUGGACUUUGCAAUGUUGCCACUAGGGACUAUAUCUCAAUAACAAUUUAUAAAUAAGUACCUGAAACUGAUAUAUCUCAACUUCACAAAUUGAUCAUAGUACAAGUUACUCUUUAUGAAAAAUAAUUCACUCCUUUCGUAAGAUAAUAUAAUUGCUAUCUUAUUACAUUUGGGUCCGGGCUCAGCACGGGCCAUUCCACCCUAGUAAUCUUAGAUAUGAUGCUUAAAGGUAAUGUAGCACCACUAGAUAACCCUCCCAUCUAUCCUAUCUUUAGCCUAAACGUUAAAAGCUGAACAAAUCCUAGUAACUCCUGAGUGAUCCCAAGAAGUGCAUAUAACCUACAUUAGUGAAGAGGCAUGAAAAAUAAGUUUAUGGGUUUGGUUUAAACUUCAGAAGACCUUGAGUUGCAUAAUCUCAUCAACGUACAUAGGAACGGAGCUAGAGUGCCGGGAGUGAGUUCAGCCGAACCCAGUAGCUUUGGUUUGAACCCUGUAUUUGUCUUAAAAUUUUUAUUGAAUAUGUACAAAUUAUUAAUUUAAAAUCCAGUAAUAUCAAACGAUUAAAAUUCUAAACCCAUAAAUUUAAAGUACUGGCUCCGUCUACGUACAUGUUGCAAAGUGGUGCAGUUAGUCUAACUCUUAUCAUUUUGUACAAGUUUCACCAAUUCUGCUUUUCUUGUGUAGUGAAGGAUUUUUGUUGAUAAAAGGAAGGAAUUUAGUGCCACAUUUGGCACCGGUGGGCAAUUGAAGGACUUCAACUAGUUUUUUUUUAUUUUUUUAUAUAAGAUCUACUAUGAUUUUUUUCCCUUUUCAGAUCUAAAGUUAAUAGUUUUUGUGGGUGAGCUAUCAAAAAUUUGUUUGUAUUUUAACUAUUUAAUAAGUGAAAGCUCACUUGAACGAUGAAGGUUAUUUCAAUAAUUUUACUUAGUCCAUUAUGAGCAGGAAGAAUGAGGUAAAAAAGACUUUUGAAGUGUUGUGUAAUUAACAAAAAAUGUGUCAUUAAAGGGGUUCGGGGAUCGGAUUAAAAAUAGUAAAAGUUGUGGGUAAAUAUUAAAAUUUUUGAAAAACCAUACCCAUUCAAAUUAUUUCAAAUUUUCAUUUCCCUCUUUUCUCUCCCCUUUACUUCUUCUUCUCCUUCUUCCUUCUUUCUUCUUUGUCUUACUCAUUCUCUCAUUCUUCUUCCUUACUUUCUUCUUUCUCUUCAACUUUCGUUGCUGCUGCUGCUGGUAGUUCGUCUAUGUCAUCAUCUUCUUCUUCAUUUUCUUCCUUGUUUUUUCCUUCUUUCCCUCUUCAUCUCAUUUUCAUCUUCUUCUUCUUCUUUCAUUUUUUCUUUUCUUCUAGUGGUUUAAAAUAUACGAGGGAAAGAGAAAAAUAUAAAAUUUUACAAAGUGAGUAUUAUGCCAAAUACCCUCGAGAUAUUUUGAGACAUUUCCAUAAACGAGUAUUAUGCAAAACAUCCCCGGGAUGUUUCAAACAUUCCUCGGGAUAUUUCUUAUGCUUCUUUCUUUUUGAUGUUUGAUCUUUUUUCAACAGAUAUUUCAAACAUCUCCACAAAUAUUUGAAACAUCUGUGCAGAUGUUUUGAAACAUCUCAGUAGAUGUUUGAAACAUUUCUCUAGAUAUUUGAAUCAUCUUUCUAAAUGUUUGAGGAUUAGGAGUGGCGGGGGAUAGAGAGAAGCGUUGCGAUAUAGAGGAGCAAGGAGAGGAUAGAGAUGAGCGUUGCGAGAUGGAGAAGUGACGGGAGGAGGAAUAGGGGUGUAGGAGGGAGAAUUUUUUGAAAAUAAGAAAACUUUGGAGUUUUUAAAAAUUAUGUUAUUAACGCUAAUUACAAAAGUAUCCGUUCAACCUCAUUCUUAAUAGUUUUGUCUUAAAAAUUGAUAUAAGUUUUGAAGUAUCUUAAAUAUUAAAAUCCUCGACUAAUGUCCCUCCACCAUUCCGUUCGUAAAUGCUCUGUGUCACAUUGUAAUGACCACUUGGGUUUAUAGUUUGUUCAUCCGUUUGACUUCUUCUUUAUCAUCUGCAGCUUCUCAUAUUUUGAGAUCUCUCUUGUUCUUUGUUCCUAUAUUUACUUGUUUGCAUUCUUGAAUUGCUUGCCUUUUAUUUUCAUUAAGGAGUUUGAAGUUCAAAUGUAUGAUUUGGAAUUGGGUUUUAAGAUAUCAACUGAACUACUAUUUCAGAUCUAGACCAAACAAUUUCGAAGGUUCCAAAUACACAUAGGGUUUUUGGAGUUCAAGGGAUAUACACGAAGUGAACUGCAUAAAAACUGCUUGAUACUGAUCUGUUAGCGCCUCAUACCGAGAGGUAAGAAUGAAAUUUUCACAUGUUGAGAAAACUAUUAAAAAUCUUAUGUGGUUAUUAUAAUUUUCAUAUCAAUGGUCAUGAUUUAGUUACUUCCUCUUGGGUUCUUAAGAAUUUUUAUUUUUUUGUAUAUCUAUUUACCAUAUUUCGGACAUGCAUGUUCUUGUUUGUCACCAAUUUUUGUAGACUUAAGAUUCCUCAGAUAUUGUGUAUCAAAAAAUUGUGCUUGGCUGCCGAGGCUGCCACUGCCAUGACUAUUAAUCAUUUUUGACUAUACCUGUGUAAGUCUAAUUCUUGGUAUACCAGUUUUGUUGAGACCAUGUUUCUGGAUAUUCUUUGAAAAUGGUAUCUCAUUUUAGAUUCUGCCUUACCAAUUCUGGUUUGCUAAAUGUUAGUAUCUGAUCAAUUUUUGAACAUGAUAAAAGAGUUAAGAUAAGCAGGGUAAAAAGUCCCUAUAGAAUAAAAAAAAUUGUACAAUUUUGUUUGGUUGUUGUUGCUCCUAAAUGCACACGCAAGUAUACAUGGUCGUACAAGUAAUAUAGGAUUAUAAGUCCAGAUAUCGUACCCACAGGAACUUGUGAUUAACUAUUUACUAAAUUAAACUAGACAAUUAAUCUAUUCAAACAAUUUUCUAAAGUGUGAUUAUUUAACUAGACUGAUCUAGAGUAGUAAACUAAGCGAUUAAAGAAAAUAAGUCGGCAAUCUUAGAAACAAAUUCGAUGGGAUAGAAUGUUCCAGAGCUAUGGGUUAACUAACAAUCCCGUUGAAUUUUCUACUUAAAUUGUCUAAUUAAUUUAUCUAAUUUAUUGAUUGACAGGGUUAAUAUUACUCGUAGUAUUCUCCCGAAGUACUACUCGCUUAUUCAAGGUAACUUAACGCCUAUAUUCCUAUGGAAUUAGGAUUAACAAGAACGCAUUAAUAAUUCAUGUAUAGUAACCAAGCAAGGCGAUUAGGUAUAUUCCUAUUCUAACCGCAAAUCUGUUCCCGAUACUCAGGUUCAAGAUCUUGCUCUACUCAAUCCUAUAUGCAAUCUAGAAUUCCCUCUUUUGAGUUCAAUCUUAGAUUCGUAGAUAGUAUUUAAUUGGUGAUCAAACAAUCAAAUAAUUAAGUGCAAGAUUGAAUAAAAUAGUGCCCAGUCUUUUUUUUUUUAAACCUAUUAUGGUUGCUAGAGUCCAAAAAAAGUAUAAUUAGGUUUCGGACUCGUGGUAAGUACUACGUACACACUAUCCUUCCCAUACUCCACUUGUAAAAUUACACUAAGUAUGUUAUUAUUGUUGUAACGUUCUUUGUAUAUGUUGUAUCUAUUGGUACAUCUGAAAAUUUUACCAUGACUUAUUCUUUUUUCUUCAUCAUGUGCUUCUAAUAUUUUCAUUUGACGAAACUUUUCUACAUGAUUUCAUUUAGUUGCGUCAUUUUGAUCUUCACGUUCAAUCUGUUCGGUAAUUUGAGAUUAGUGGGAUAGAGUCUCCAUCAUAGAGAUGCUUCCUGAAAUUCAUCCUCAACUUUGAAAAACCAAGUUAUUUGAUAAAUGAAUAACAUCCUUUGCCACUUUGCCACUUAAUAAAGGAGGAUAUCUUGUAUAGCCAUAUGUAUAAUGAGUCGCAAUAUAAUUUGGCUUUAUUGUAUUUGCAGUUUGAUGUACACCAGUUCUGCACGAUUGUAUGUGCAUCAUUUUAGAGUCGUUUCUAGAGGAAUCCUGAGGCUAUCAAGGUAUAUGUAAAUUUGAUAUAUAACCCAUUUUUCCUGGGGUUUGAACUAGGUAUGUGUAGUUUUCUACAUGCAGUUUAUUUUAUCCUGGGUUUAAACUCAAAUCUAUGCAUGACACUGUUGCAAGCUGAUCUGGCGGUAUCUGUUAUUGCUAAGUGUAUAGAAGUGUUUUAUAGAGAAUGAAGACCAGUAAAAAGGAAUAACUCAAAUUCUUUCUUCUGAGACGGUUCAUAUGUAUGGACGUUCAAGCACUUGAGAAAACUGCCCCUUCUUUUGAAAUUAUGUUAAAGGCUUAAAUUUUUAUUUUAUUUUUCCUUUUUUUUCUUUCUGCAAUUGGAUAAAGAUAUGAUUUUAUAUGAGAAAUAUCUUCUUAAUGUUUGAUAUUUUUGUGGUAAUCUUGUAGUUGCACGAGUAAUAAAAACAACUAUGUUGGGCAAAUGCCCGUGCACACAUCUAGUUUGUAAAGAAGCGAAGGUGGUGUUAGUUGUGGUCAUAGCGGAGCUACAGUGUCUCUAAUGGUAUUUAUUGGUGGUUAUGGUGAUUUAUGUGAGGGAAAUCUUUUUGUUAGAGGUG